CUCUGGUUAGCCGAAAACAGGGGAGAGUAGGCA
rnacentral:ncRNA from 1 species